rnacentral:rRNA from 1 species
GAUGAACGCUAGCGGGAGGCUUAACACAUGCAAGUCGAGGGGCAGCAUUACUUUCGGGUAGAUGGCGACCGGCGCACGGGUGCGUAACGCGUAUGCAACCUGCCUUAUACAGGAGGAUAGCCCAUGGAAACGUGGAUUAACACUCCAUAGUAUGAUUUUAUCGCAUGAUAAAAUGAUUAAAACUUCGGUGGUAUAAGAUGGGCAUGCGUAGGAUUAGAUAGUUGGUGAGGUAACAGCUCACCAAGCCGACGAUCCUUAGGGGUUCUGAGAGGAUUAUCCCCCACACUGGUACUGAGACACGGACCAG